rnacentral:rRNA from 1 species
UACGUAGGGUGCGAGCGUUGUCCGGAUUUAUUGGGCGUAAAGAGCUCGUAGGCGGUUUGUCGCGUCGACUGUGAAAACCCGAGGCUUAACCUCGGGCCUGCAGUCGAUACGGGCAGACUAGAGUUCGGUAGGGGAGACUGGAAUUCCUGGUGUAGCGGUGAAAUGCGCAGAUAUCAGGAAGAACACCUAUGGCGAAGGCAGCUCUCUGGGACGGUACUGACGCUGAGGCGCGAAAGCGUGGGGAGCAAACAGG